rnacentral:rRNA from 1 species
UACGUAGGGUGCGAGCGUUGUCCGGAAUUAUUGGGCGGAAAGAGCUCGUAGGCGGUGUGUCACGUCGGCCGUGAAAACCUGCAGCUUAACUGUGGGCGUGCGGUCGAUACGGGCAUCACUGGAGUUCGGCAGGGGAGACUGGAAUUCCUGGUGUAGCGGUGAAAUGCGCAGAUAUCAGGAGGAACACCGGUGGCGAAGGCGGGUCUCUGGGCCGGUACUGACGCUGAGGUGCGAAAGCGUGGGGAGCAAACAGG